UUUCACCUUGUUGCCCAGGCUGGUCUCAAACUCCUGGGCUCAAGCGAUCUGCCCACCUCAGUCUCCCGAAGUGCUGGGAUUACAGAUGUGAGCCACCAUGCCCAGCUUUCUUGCAUUGUUAAGAGCAAGCAAGAGCUCUGAAGCCAGACUGCCUGGCCUUGAAAAUCUCAGCUUGGUGUACAGUCUUGGGCAAAGUGACUUAACUUCUCUGUGCCUCAGUUGCUCCAUCUGUAAAAUGAUAAUAUAUUCAUAUAUGUAUGUUAUAUAUUUUUGAAAUAGAGUUUUGGGGAUCAAAUGUGCUUAUCUGUGGAAAGCUGUUGGCAAAGGGCCUGACAAUGUAUGAUGUAUGAAGACAUGCUAAGCAUCAUGCUUGCUAUUGAAAUGAAGUAUAGAGGAGGAAAAAAGCAUCAUGCGCGGUAUUUUUAAAUACAUUGUUUCAUUUAAUUCUUCUAACAAGCUUCAUUGAGGAAGAAACAGAGUUACUUGUCAUAGUCAAUACAGCAAGUAAGUAUAACAGGAGAGCCAGGAUUUAAGCCAGGUCUGACUAACUCCACCAUCCUGCUUCUGAAUGAAGAGAGCUGGACUCCAGAGGCACUGUUUAUGGGCAUAUGGGCCUUUUCUCACUGUUUGGGGCCAGAGAAGAAGCCCAGAGGGCAGUUUGUCCUGGAACAUCUCAGCAUUUUUUUGUUUUUGUUUUUGUUUUUGUUUUGAGACAAAGUCUCCAGUCCCCCAGGCUGGAGUGCAGUGGCGCAAUCUCAGCUCACUGCAACCUCCACCUCCCAGGUUGAAGCGAUUCUGCUGCCUCAGCCUCCUGAGUAGCUGGGAUUACAGGCGCCUGCCACCACGCCCAGCUGAUUUUUUGUAUUUUUAGUAGAGACAGGGUUUCACCGUGUUGGCCAGGCUGGUCUCGAACUCCUGACCUCAGGUGAUCCGCCCGUCUCGGCCCCCCAAAGUGCUGGGAUUACAGGCGUGAGCCACCGUGCCCAGCCUUUCUCCAGGUGGGAGUGCAGUGGCAUGAUCUCAGCUCACUGAAGCCUCGACCUCCAGAACUCAAGUGAUCCUCCCAAAGUAGCUGGGACUGCAGGUGCACACCACCACGCCCAGCUAAUUUUUGGAUUUUUUGUAGAAACGGUUUUGCCAUGUUGCCCAGGCUGCUGAUCUGGAACCUUUGGCUUUUGUUUUGUUUUGUUUUUGUUUUUUGAGACAGGGUCUCACUCUGUUGCCCAGGCUGGAGUGCAGUGGCACGAUCUUGGCUCACUGCAACCUCUGCCUCCCGGGCUCAAGUGAUUCUCCCGCCUCAGUCUCCCAAGUAGCUGGGGUUACAGGUGCACGCCACCACGCCUGGCUAAUUUUUUUGUAAUUUUUGUAGAGACGGGGUUUCACUGUGUUGCCCAGGCUGGUCUCGAGCUCCUGAGCUCAAGCGAUCCACCCGCCCAUGCCUCCCAGAGUGCUGGGAUUACAGGCGUGAGCCACUGCACCCAGCCCUCUUAGCCAUUUUGUUAACCUCAUUUCCCACCUCUGGAGGUGGUAGGGGCUUCCCAAGAAGAUCACUUGGACCUCUUCAAGUAUGGUGGCAAUAUUGCUGGGCUGUUGGAGAGACUUCUGUUAUAGAGGCUCCCCUCUUGUGUUUUUCCUCAAAGGCAAGGAGUCAUUUUUGGUCACAUGAGGACAAAGAGACCAGACCAGUAGUGCAUUCUGUUUUGCAUGGGAAUUGUCAAGGCUCUUUCAGUUUUAACUGAAACCCAACUCAAACUGGCCUAAGUCAAAAACGAAUUUAUUCAUCUAUGUAACUGAAAAGAGUGGGCCACAAGGGGGAGGCUUCAGGCUAGCUGCAUCUAGGUUUUAAAUCAUGUGAACAGAUCUCCCUUUCCCCCUCCCCCAUCUCUUGACUUUGCUGUCAUCUGUUAGUUUCAUUCUGAAGCAGGCUUCCACCGUGAAAUAGAAGAGGUGGCAACUGGUGACAUCAUGAGACGAUGUGUAAUCUGAGCAACCCUAACCAAGAACUUAUUUUCCUUAGUAGUUCCAGCAAAAAUCCAGAGAGGACUAUCCUUGGCCAGGCUUUACCCCAUGUCCACUUCUGGAGCCAAGAAAGACAGUUCCUUCUCCAAGGGGAACCCAGGGUGUUGAUACUAGAAGAUGGAAAUGGAUACAGUAAGAUGCUGCCACAGUGAGAUGCCUCACCCAGGUCUCCCUCUGUCACUUCAGCCAAGCACAUGGGAUAGAAAGUAGCAGGCGGCCUCUGGCCCUUUAAUGGAAGAGGGCCAUCCAGUCCUCUCCAGUUAACAUCUAGACCGAACACAAAGCAUCCUUCUCUCAUCCAGAAGACAUAGGAACCCUACCUUCAGGGAUGAUUUUUUUUUAACAGUGAAAUCUUAAAAGUAACUGUUUCACUAAAGCCUCCAGUAUUUACUGAAGACUGUCAGAAUCAUCCUCCAUCACUAGAUCUUCUCCACCAGUCAUGUUCCCUGAGCAGUGGGGUGGCUUGAAGGUAUAAACCAGAGAGGCCCAAGGGAGGGAUAGUUAGCAGACUUCUGGUCUUUUUCUAGUUUGUGCUCUUCUGUUCCAAGGACCACAGGUAUGUCUUCUUCUGUGUAGUUGUUCACUAUUGUUUCAAUGUGAUUCGUUUCCCACAUUUGAAAAUAGGGGGGGAUUUUACUUUAAAAUUCAGAUAUCUGGCUCCUCUUUAGGGG
rnacentral:lncRNA from 1 species